UUGAACGCUGGCGGCAUGCUUUACACAUGCAAGUCGAACGGUAACAGGUCUUCGGAUGCUGACGAGUGGCGAACGGGUGAGUAAUGCAUCGGAACGUGCCCAGUCGUGGGGGAUAACGCAGCGAAAGCUGUGCUAAUACCGCAUACGAUCUAUGGAUGAAAGCGGGGGAUCGCAAGACCUCGCGCGAUUGGAGCGGCCGAUGUCAGAUUAGCUAGUUGGUGGGGUGAAGGCCCACCAAGGCGACGAUCUGUAGCUGGUCUGAGAGGACGACCAGCCACACUGGGACUGAGACACGGCCCAGACUCCUACGGGAGGCAGCAGUGGGGAAUUUUGGACAAUGGGCGCAAGCCUGAUCCAGCAAUGCCGCGUGCAGGAAGAAGGCCUUCGGGUUGUAAACUGCUUUUGUACGGAACGAAAAGGUCUGGGUUAAUACCCUGGGCUCAUGACGGUACCGUAAGAAUAAGCACCGGCUAACUACGU
rnacentral:rRNA from 1 species